AAUGAACGCUGGCGGCGUGGUUAAGACAUGCAAGUCGAACGGUGUAGCAAUACACAGUGGCGCACGGGUGCGUAACACGUAUGCAACCUACCUUACAUUGGGGGAUAGCCUUUCGAAAGGGAGAUUAAUACCGCAUAAGACAGUAAAUAGGCAACUAGUAGCUGAUAAAGAUUUAUCGAUGUAAGCUGGGCAUGCGUCCAAUUAGUUAGUUGGCGAGGUAAUGGCUGACCAAGACGAUGAUUGGUAGGGGAACUGAGAGGUCAAUCCCCCACACUGGAACUGAGAUACGGGCCAGACUCCUACGGGUGGCAGCAGUAGGGAAUAUUGGGCAAUGGGCGCAAGCCUGACCCAGCCAUGCCGCGUGCAGGAAGAAGGCGUUAUGCGUUGUAAACUGCUUUUAUACAGGAAGAAACGACCCUUGCGAGGGGCAUUGACGGUACUGUAUGAAUAAGCACCGGCUAACUCCGUGCCAGCCGCCGCUGUAAGAC
rnacentral:rRNA from 1 species